AUGGAGACGGGGCAAAAUACAAAGGGAUGUGGUUCAUGGGCAUUUUGCCCACUAAAACUGAUGAUUGGUUCUCCAUCUUCUUCUAUAAUCAAAUGGGAGUUUCUAGGCAGAGCCCGGGCAGCUGCCCAGGGUCGCCGGGAGGUGGCUCCGCCACUGGUACCAAUGAAAAGUUUUUAUUUGAUCAGACUUGUUAAGUUUUUACUGAAUUUUAAUCAGAUUGCUGUAACAGCUCCUUCUGUUCUUGUUAUGUGCUGCUUUGUUUUGAUUCGAUCUGUUGCGCAAGCUCGCGUUUCUCUGUAA
rnacentral:rRNA from 1 species